GACGAACGCUGGCGGCGUGCUUAACACAUGCAAGUCGAACGAUGAUGCUGGAGCUUGCUCCAGUUGAUUAGUGGCGAACGGGUGAGCAACACGUGAGCAAUCUGCCCUUGACUCUGGGAUAACUGCGGGAAACUGUAGCUAAUACCGGAUACUUUCACCGGAAGGCAUCUUCUGGUGAUGAAAGAAUUUCGGUCAGGGAUGAGCUCGCGGGCUAUCAGCUUGUUGGUGAGGUAACGGCUCACAAAGGCGACGACGGGUAGCCGGCCUGAGAGGGUGACCGGCCACACUGGGACUGAGACACGGCCCAGACUCCUACGGGAGGCAGCAGUGGGGAAUAUUGCACAAUGGGCGCAAGCCUGAUGCAGCAACGCCGCGUGAGGGAUGAAGGCCUUCGGGUUGUAAACCUCUUUUAGCAGGGAAGAAGCGAAAGUGACGGUACCUGCAGAAAAAGCACCGGCUAACUACGUGCCAGCAGCCGCGGUAA
rnacentral:rRNA from 1 species